rnacentral:lncRNA from 1 species
GCGGAAGCAGUUAUAAAUCCCCCAGACAAUAAAACAAUGGGAUAGGAAAGCAGGCCAUAUUUUUCAUAUUGAAAUUCACAACCACACUUUCAUUAACAGCACAACUCAUAGUAUAUUCACAAUACUAUUUACAGCAUAAAAGUCUCACACCUAUCUAUACCAAGACAGGGUUCACAAAAGGGAUGGGAUCUCAAUCCACAUCCGGGUUAUAUUCAAGAUCCCUCUCUGGAUCAUCUUCUUCCUCAAAAGUCUUUCUCCUCUUCAGGUUCCUCCUCCUUCGAUUCUCCUCAGGGUCCUGAAAUGGUUAUUCAAUAACCAAUGAGACCACGUCUCAGCGAGUCCUACCCACUAAGACUCGAUUAAUAAACUAAUACGCCAUCCGGUUGCCUAAGCACAACACGAGUCAGAGGACUUACCUUGGCCUCAGUUCCAACCUGCAAUUCAAGGUUAAACACAGAUAUUCAAACAAUUCACGACAUCCGAUCAAGCAUUGAUCAAUCGACUAAGUCGAUUACAUGUCAGCCGGACCCUUUCUAGGUCAUUCCCACUCAUACCACGCUUUCUCAGUGGUGUACUCAUUCACCAAAUCACAUGUGUUUCUCGGGCGUCGUUUUCGCCAAUGACAUACCGAUCACCGACACCGUGCGUUCUUUAAGGCGCCGUUUUCACCAGUGAUAACCUUGAUCACCGAACCACGUGUCUUCUCAAGGGCGUCGUUUUCGCCAAGGUGACAUCGGCUAUAGACAACAUCGUGCAUUCUUUAAGGCGCCGUUUUCACCAGUGAUAUUCCCAUAAUCACCGAACCACGUGUGUCUAUAAGUCAUUUACGUGCGUUCUUUAAGGCGCCGUUUUCGCCAGUGAUACUUCCAAUCACCGAACCACGUAUGUCCAAUUACAUCGUACCUGAUUGGUCUCAGCCAAUAACAUUCUCAGUGAGCUCUCACCGUUCUCCCUACUAUAUAGCCCAUCGACGUACUGGCGCUAUAUACCCAUACUCAGUCAUCCAUCAAUCAAAUAUUCAAUAACAAACAAUUUAGGACAAUUCCUAAAAUUACACAAUAAAUUCAAUUCCACACAACGUAGAGCUCAAAUAAAUAAACGGACUGCACCACGACAAUCAGCACGAAAUUCCGGUCACCGGCCAUCCCGGUUGAAUUUCCGGAAAAAUAAUUAAUUAAAUAAAUAAAUUUCGAAAAUAAAUAAAUAAACAUUAAAAAUCCAAUUUAGGCCUAUAUUGCCUUAUUGGAGCCCGAAACGGGUCGGGAAAAAUCCCGAGAUGCAUUCAAUAAAUAACCAAACAUUUGUACUUGCUAAUAGCUAGGUCUAACCACCUAACAUGCAUUAUUAAGUCACUAAAUGUAAUUGUUCUAACCUAAUCUAACCACCUAAGUGCAUGUAAUUAAAUCUAACCAACCCUAAGGCAUAAUUAGCAAAUUAAUAAAGCUUUAGUGAGUAAAACUCACUUGACAAAAGCGGGGACCGAAUCACCGCAACGGCGACGCGACGGCGGCCGAAAAGCCGAACUUUCGGCGGCGUCGACGGACACUCGGGCCGGGCCUACAAGCCUCGCAAGCUCGCAGAAAUUUCUAGGCUUGGGCUUGGCUUCGCGGGCUUCAAAUUUUGAUGGGCUUUGCUGAGAUGGCUGCUGGACCAACAAAUUUCGCUGGGCUUAAAAUCCAAUGGGCUGAACUUCAAGUAGGGCUAUUUUCACGGGCUUCAAGUGCUGGAAAAUUUGGGCUUCAAUUCAAUUGAAUAAGCUGAACUGGAAGGGCCUGUUGCUGUGAAGAUGGGCCUCCAAAAACUAACUGAAACUGAA